rfam:Triticum aestivum genome assembly, contig: Triticum_aestivum_CS42_TGACv1_scaffold_322184_4BL
AUUGUACUCCAUCCGUCCGGAAAUACUUGUCAGAGGAAUGGAUGUAUCUAAAUGUAUUUUAAUUCUAGAUACAUUUAUUUUUUUGCAUAUUUCCGACAAGUAUUUCCGGGCGGAGGGAGUAUAAA